rnacentral:rRNA from 1 species
CGUAGGGGGCGAGCGUUGUCCGGAUUUAUUGGGCGUAAAGAGCUCGUAGGCGGUUUGGCAAGUCGGGUGUGAAAACUCCGGGCUCAACUCGGAGACGCCACUCGAUACUGCCAUGACUAGAGUCCGGUAGGGGAGUGCGGAAUUCCUGGUGUAGCGGUGAAAUGCGCAGAUAUCAGGAGGAACACCGGUGGCGAAGGCGGCACUCUGGGCCGGUACUGACGCUGAGGAGCGAAAGCGUGGGGAGCGAACAGGAUUAGAUACCCUGGUAGUCCACGCCGUAAACGUUGGGCACUAGGUGUGGGGCUCGAUCGACGGGUUCCGUGCCGUAGCUAACGCAUUAAGUGCCCCGCCUGGGAAGUACGGCCGCAAGGCUA